CAUUUUCUAAAGUGGACAAUAAUUGUUGUGACACUUCCCUUUUGGUCCACGACGUCACCGUGAGAGGUAGACGUUGCAAAGAGUAUUUAUCGUCUCAUUAAAAUAACUUAAGACGCAUCGCCGCGAGUAUUGUGCAGCUGAGCACCGACCCCUGGUGUCGGGCGAGUGUAUUACAUCCUCCAGAGAUGAACAUAGACACGUUCUGCUACUGCGUACUGGCGCUGACGAGACGCGGGGCCGCCAUCUUGGAGUGGUGAUCCAGGUUAUAUAUACAAUGCGCCGUGAUUGCAGUUAUUGAGGGAGCGCAUAUUUUCUUCAUUGGCUUGUCUGCAUUCUAAACAGACUUCAGGAAUCUCGCCGAUUGUCUUCUUUGUCGGAGGAAUGAUGAGGACCGGUUGCAGGUAUUUUGCAUGUUUCCGUAGUCUCCUGUAACUCCUCCCCUUCCUCCUCACUUCCCUCUUGCGAUGCUGAGGUUUCCGUAGUCUCCUGUAACUCCUCCCCUUCCUCCUCACUUCCUGCUUGCGAUGCUGAGGAAGCAGAGCGAUACAAGGAGUCACAUAUAUGUCCAUCCAUCCAUUUUCCACCGCUUAUUCCCUUUGGGGUCACGAUGGCGCUGGUGCCUAUUUCAGCUUCAAUCGGGCGGAAGGCGGUGUACAUCCUGGACAAGCCGC